CGGGGCGGCACUCAGUGGACUAAUCAGCCCUUCACAAGUAAUUAACACCUUAGCAUUCCUUAAAAAGGCAUUCCCAAAGUACAUUUCAUGCUGUUCUUGAACCAUUUGGAGUAUAUGGAUGGUUUUGGUCUCUUUUGAAAGGUGACACUCUCAGAAUCACUGUAAGUCUUACUGGUAUUGAGUAAUAGACCUUUGAACAUACUGAAAAAGAAGUAAGAAAAGUUUUUUGUUUUGUUUUUUUUAAACAGAUGCCUGCAGAUGACUAUAACUGGGAGCUAUUAGCUGGAAAACGCAAUGGGAUCACAACAUGAAGCCUUGUUUGAGGUUUGAGAAAGAUGCUGAUUGUACCUGCUGUGUUGAUUGUAUCUUAAAAUGGUUUGCAUCAUUCGAACAACAAGAAUCUCAGCUUUCCAAGGAGUUGUUGUAUGUCACAAAGUUAACCCUCAAAAACAUGCAGUGUAAUGCGGGCAGAACAGUGGAACACUAACUGGUUAACUGCCCCCUCUGUCCGCGUUAAUAGAACAUGCUCUCCGCUCUCAUCCAUCCUGUGAUACGGAGGCCGUUGAAGGAAACGAGCUCUCGUUCAUCAUUCCUCCCUCACUUCCAACUCACACAAACAAACAAAUAAACACAUAAACAGCCCAUUACCGCCAGUCUCAGGCCUCAGCGAGCUCACGUACGGCCUGGGAAACGCUGGGAAUGAUGAUGUUUUUUUCUCCAUACAAACAUGUCUUUUUUUUCUGAAGGAGUUCAGGCUGGUUUUUGUGGUGAAUCUGUUGAGCGCUGUAUACGGCUCAGUGCUCGGUCUGACAGGCGUCUCAGCACAGCUGUAUUCUGCAUGCGCGUAUGUCUGUGUGAGUGUGUGUCAGGCUGUGCUGUUUUACUAACACUAUUGACUGAAGGUGAUGUUCUGGACAGAGUCCAUCUGACCCCACAGAGCCUUAAAUACAUCACUGUCCAACAGGGACCUCCAGAGACGAUGCCGAGCUUUAUGUGAGUGUGUAUUCAUGUCUGUUUGCCUAUAACACUCCUGUGUUUUCCUUGUCUAAACACUCUGUAUUAAUUCUUUACUCAUGCACAGAAGAAGAGUAAUGCUGACAAUCAAAAUGUAAUGCACAAAGUACACUGCAGUAUCUUAACAGUCAAGCUGUCAUUCUUACCCAUCAGUGUUUACAGAGCUGU
ensembl:lncRNA